rnacentral:lncRNA from 10 species
GUAGGAGAUUUCUUGGGCAGAUGAUUUUUAAACGAGAUAAGAAAAUUAAGAACAUGAAAAUGGAUUCCUUUAAGACUGUGCCCAUGCACUCUUUGGAAAGAUUCUGCUUUCCAAGCAAUGCAGUUUGAAGACCUGUGAUCUAGUAAUCUUCUUUACACAUUUUGUUUAUUGGACAGAAUGUGUUGCUCAGUAUAAUGUGAAUAUCUAGUCCAACCAGGUCUAUUUCUUAUAAAUUUAUUAGCCAGGGUUUGGCUUCUCUAUAUGUCUCUCUGGUGACAUGCAUGUCUGGUCCAUUCUAGGUAUUUCUGAGUAAACAAUACUAGGAUCAGAUUAUAAAACUUGCUUAUAUCACUAAAAUAUUAUUUUGUGUCUUCUUGGUGGUCAUUCUGUCCCUCCUGGACAGCCUCAUGCCUGACUGGACACUGAAAAAGAGGUGAAGAGAUGAGGCGAUAGAACAAAAGAACAGAAAGAUAAUGAAGCUGAGACUAAGUAAGUGAAAGGUGAAUAAAAUUCUCUGGUGUUGACUGUAUUUUUUUAAGCAUAAUUAUGUAUGCAGCCACAAAUGGAGCACAAAGCAAUUACUGCUUGUGGGAAUUUGAGAGAUGCUCUUUGAAGAGGUGUGAGGGAAUCAGUAAUACUUGCAGUGACUUUUAAGGAGGUGGAGUGUGCUGAUGAAGAUGCCACAAAGAACUGAUGGGAAGUUAUUCCUCUCCCCAACUGCUAUUGUAUCCUUCCUGUAGUGCUGUCUCUGCUUUUUGCAUCUUGCCCAGUAUAUUAUGACACAAAUAAAAAUUCUCUUUUCAUCAUCUUGCA